GAUGACAUGGAGCCCACUCAGCCUUGCCCAGCGCUGGGACUGAGAGUUUGAGAAGUCAUCCUGACUGGAAGACCUUCCCCAAGUCUAGGCAAGUGACUUAUGCCUGGCUGGGGAACCUCGGAGGUGAGGCAGGAGCAGCCCUGAACGCGGGCCCUGCCCCUCCUUCCUCCCACUCUCCAGAGGAAGUGUGCUAUUAUACUUCCACAUCUGCCAUGGACAUGGAAGGGAGGCAGGACGCCCAGCACGCCCGACGAAACAGACCUCUGCCCGCUGCUGGUGGACACAAUGCCGCGCAGUCAAGAAAAGUGAUGUUUCAGAAGACUUUGAAUGACCCAGAGGCAGCCUCUGUCCUUGUGCCCUAGGAGGUGAUGCUUUUCUAUGGCUUAGUUUCCUCAUCAGUAAGGUUGUGUGGGGAUGUUUCUCUUGUUUGGAUCAGGACCCAAUGUCCAGGAUGCCACUGUGGCUGCUACCAGAGAAUCUGGCAAGGUCUAUGGCCCCAUUGUCUCCUGCCCACCCUCCCGAGAGACAUACCCAGGAAGUCGCAGAGCAGGGGGUCCAGCACCCUCAGGAGCAGCAGCAGUCGCCCGAGUUGCCGCUUCAUGGUCUCCUGGCUCUCUUCAAAGUUCCCUUGCUGUGGGACGGAAGGAGGGGGG
rnacentral:lncRNA from 1 species